rnacentral:rRNA from 1 species
AGAGAGAGACAUGCGCGCAUAUCAAUAAGCGGAGGAAAAGAAACUAACAAGGAUUCCCUUAGUAACGGCGAGUGAAGCGGGAAGAGCUCAAAUUUGAAAUCUUCAAGGUUUUACCUUGACGAAUUGUAGUUUAAAGAAGUGUUUUCUGCUGAAGUUUUGGUAAAAGUUCUUUGGAAUAGGACAUCAUAGAGGGUGAGAAUCCCGUAUUUGACCAUUAUUUUCAGCUUUGUGAUACACUUUCAAAGAGUCGGAUUGUUUGGGAAUGCAGUCCAAAAUGGGUGGUAAAUUUCAUCUAAAGCUAAAUAUUGGCGAGAGACCGAUAGCGAACAAGUACCGUGAGGGAAAGAUGAAAAGAACUUUGAAAAGAGAGUUAAACAGUACGUGAAAUUGUCAAAAGGGAAGCGUUUGACACCAGUGUUGUUUUCUCGAAAAUCAAUUAAAAACGGCUCGAUUUUGUAUUGCUUGAGACCUUAAAAGCUCACUGUACAUUUUUCGUGUCUUUUUUAAUGCACUUUUCGUUUAACAAGUCAACAUCAGUUUCUUUUGUUGUAAAAGGGUCAUUGGAAGGUGGCUUUCCUUUCGGAGAAAGUGUUUAUAGCCUUUGGCCUCUGCAAUCGAAGAGACUGAGGUCUGCAGCGUAGACUCUUCGGGGUUAGAUACAUUUGUGCUAAGUUAUAGCUUUUUAUAGACAACUUGUUGACUAUAAUUAGUCUUGUAGCUUACUCGCUUAUGCUAUUUUACCUACGCUUAGGAUGUUGAGUCGUAGAGCACGCAG